rnacentral:rRNA from 1 species
AGCGAACGCUGGCGGCAGGCUUAACACAUGCAAGUCGAGCGGGCACUUUCGGGUGUCAGCGGCGGACGGGUGAGUAACGCGUGGGAACGUGCCCUCUGGUUCGGAAUAACUCAGGGAAACUUGAGCUAAUACCGGAUACGCCCUUUUGGGGAAAGGCUUGCUGCCGGAGGAUCGGCCCGCGUCUGAUUAGCUAGUUGGUGAGGUAACGGCUCACCAAGGCGACGAUCAGUAGCUGGUCUGAGAGGAUGAUCAGCUACACUGGGACUGAGACACGGCCCAGACUCCUACGGGAGGCAGCAGUGGGGAAUAUUGGACAAUGGGCGCAAGCCUGAUCCAGCCAUGCCGCGUGAGUGAUGAAGGCCUUAGGGUUGUAAAGCUCUUUUAUCCGGGACGAUAAUGACGGUACCGGAGGAAUAAGCCCCGGCUAACUUCGUG